CGUAAUGCCGUGCCACAAGCGGUGGGAAGACGGAGGAGGAAAGAGGUAUGCGGAAGUAUUGGGCGUAAAGCGUCCGUAGGUGGCGAGUGAAGUCGUCGGGCAAAGUGUGGGGCUUAACCCUGGAAAGGCCGUGGAAACUGACGAGCUAGAGUGCAGUAGGGGUAGAGGGAAUUCCCGGUGUAGCGGUGAAAUGCGUAGAGCGCGGGAAGAACAUCGGUGGCGAAAGCGCUCUACUGGACUGCAACUGACACUCAGGGACGAAAGCUAGGGGAGCGAAUGGGAUUAGAUACCCGAGUAGUC
rnacentral:rRNA from 1 species